UGCAGUCGAGCGGACAGAAGGGAGCUUGCUCCCGGAUGUUAGCGGCGGACGGGUGAGUAACACGUGGGUAACCUGCCUGUAAGACUGGGAUAACUCCGGGAAACCGGAGCUAAUACCGGAUAGUUCCUUGAACCGCAUGGUUCAAGGAUGAAAGACGGUUUCGGCUGUCACUUACAGAUGGACCCGCGGCGCAUUAGCUAGUUGGUGGGGUAAUGGCUCACCAAGGCGACGAUGCGUAGCCGACCUGAGAGGGUGAUCGGCCACACUGGGACUGAGACACGGCCCAGACUCCUACGGGAGGCAGCAGUAGGGAAUCUUCCGCAAUGGACGAAAGUCUGACGGAGCAACGCCGCGUGAGUGAUGAAGGUUUUCGGAUCGUAAAGCUCUGUUGUUAGGGAAGAACAAGUGCGAGAGUAACUGCUCGCACCUUGACGGUACCUAACCAGAAAGCCACGGCUAACUACGUGCCAGCAGCCGCGGUAAUACGUAGGUGGCAAGCGUUGUCCGGAAUUAUUGGGCGUAAAGGGCUCGCAGGCGGUUUCUUAAGUCUGAUGUGAAAGCCCCCGGCUCAACCGGGGAGGGUCAUUGGAAACUGGGAAACUUGAGUGCAGAAGAGGAGAGUGGAAUUCCACGUGUAGCGGUGAAAUGCGUAGAGAUGUGGAGGAACACCAGUGGCGAAGGCGACUCUCUGGUCUGUAACUGACGCUGAGGAGCGAAAGCGUGGGGAGCGAACAGGAUUAGAUACCCUGGUA
rnacentral:rRNA from 1 species